AUUGACCGCUGGCGGCAUGCUUUACACAUGCAAGUCGAACGGUAACAGGCCGCAAGGUGCUGACGAGUGGCGAACGGGUGAGUAAUGCAUCGGAACGUGCCCAGUCGUGGGGGAUAACGCAGCGAAAGCUGCGCUAAUACCGCAUACGAUCUAUGGAUGAAAGCGGGGGACCGUAAGGCCUCGCGCGAUUGGAGCGGCCGAUGUCAGAUUAGGUAGUUGGUGGGGUAAGGGCUCACCAAGCCAACGAUCUGGAGCUGGUCUGAGAGGACGACCAGCCACACUGGGACUGAGACACGGCACAGACUCCUACGGGAGGCAGCAGGGGGGAAUUUUGGACAAUGGGCGCAAGCCUGAUCCAGCAAUGCCGCGUGCAGGAAGAAGGCCUUCGGGUUGUAAACUGCUUUUGUACGGAACGAAACGGCUCUGGUUAAUACCUGGGGCUAAUGACGGUACCGUAAGAAUAAGCACCGGCUAACUACGUGCCAGCAGCCGCCGUAAUAC
rnacentral:rRNA from 1 species